AGCGAACGCUGGCGGCAGGCCUAAUACAUGCAAGUCGAGCGCACCUUCGGGUGAGCGGCGGACGGGUGAGUAACGCGUGGGAACGUGCCCUUUGGUACGGAACAACUGAGGGAAACUUCAGCUAAUACCGUAUGUGCCCUUCGGGGGAAAGAUUUAUCGCCAUUGGAGCGGCCCGCGUUGGAUUAGGUAGUUGGUGGGGUAAAGGCCCACCAAGCCUACGAUCCAUAGCUGGUCUGAGAGGAUGAUCAGCCACACUGGGACUGAGACACGGCCCAGACUCC
rnacentral:rRNA from 1 species